rnacentral:rRNA from 1 species
UACGCAGGGGGCUAGCGUUGCUCGGAAUCACUGGGCGUAAAGGAUGCGUAGGCGGGUUUCUAAGUCAGAGGUGAAAGCCUGGAGCUCAACUCCAGAACUGCCUUUGAUACUGGAAGUCUUGAGUUCGGGAGAGGUGAGUGGAACUGCGAGUGUAGAGGUGAAAUUCGUAGAUAUUCGCAAGAACACCAGUGGCGAAGGCGGCUCACUGGCCCGAUACUGACGCUGAGGCACGAAAGCGUGGGGAGCAAACAGG